rnacentral:rRNA from 1 species
UCGUGAGACAGUUCGGUCUCUAUCUGUUGUGGGCGUAGGAAAUUUGCGGGGAUCUGACACUAGUACGAGAGGACCGUGUUGGACAGACCUCUGGUGAACCGGUUGUCGCGCCAGCGGCACGGCCGGGUAGCUAAGUUUGGGAUGGAUAAGCGCUGAAAGCAUCUAAGUGCGAAGCCAGCCUCAAGAUAAGAUUUCCAUAUUAAGGUCGUCGUAGACUACGACGUAGAUAGGCUGCAGGUGUAAAGGCGGUAACGUCAUAGCCGAGCAGUACUAAUUACCUGAAUAAUUGUCUUUC